rnacentral:rRNA from 1 species
UACGGAGGGUGCAAGCGUUAUCCGGAUUCACUGGGUUUAAAGGGUGCGUAGGCGGGUUGGUAAGUCCGUGGUGAAAUCUCCGAGCUUAACUCGGAAACUGCCGUGGAUACUAUCAAUCUUGAAUAUCGUGGAGGUAAGCGGAAUAUGUCAUGUAGCGGUGAAAUGCUUAGAGAUGACAUAGAACACCAAUUGCGUAGGCAGCUUACUACACGAUCAUUGACGCUGAGGCACGAAAGCGUGGGGAGCAACCGG